rnacentral:rRNA from 1 species
GAUGAACGCUAGCGGCGGGCCUAAUACAUGCAAGUCGAACGAUAUUAAGGGGCUUGCUCCUUAAGAAAGUGGCGCACGGGUGCGUAACGCGUAUGCAACCUACCUUAAUCAGGGGGAUAGCCCGAAGAAAUUCGGAUUAACACCGCAUAAAAACACAGGAUAGCAUUAUCCAAUGUUCAAAUAUUUAUAGGAUUAAGAUGGGCAUGCGUGUCAUUAGCUAGUUGGCGGGGUAACGGCCCACCAAGGCGACGAUGACUAGGGGAUCUGAGAGGAUGACCCCCCACACUGGUACUGAGACACGGACCAGACUCCUACGGGAGGCAGCAGUAAGGAAUAUGGUCAAUGGAGGCAACUCUGAACCAGCCAUGCCGCGUGCAGGAAGACUGCCCUAUGGGUUGUAAACUGCUUUUAUCCGGGAAUAAACCUUUCUACGUGUAGGAAGCUGAAUGUACCGGAAGAAUAAGGAUCGGCUAACUCCGUGCCAGCAGCCGCCGUAAUAC